CAGUCGCGUCGGCCGGGAAUCAGCUUCGCUCUUGCGUGGUGUACUUUCUGGUUGACGGGCCAGCAUCAAUUUUGACUGCUGGAAAAAGGCUUAGGGAAUGUGGCAGCUUCGGCUGUGUUAUAGCCCUUGGUCACAUACAGCGGUUGGGAUUGAGGAACUCAGCACGCCGCAAGGCCCGGGGUUCGCCCACGUUCGUGCCUUAGGAUGCUGGCAUAAUGGCUUUAAUCGACCCGUCUUGAGACACGGACCAAGGAGUCUAACAUAUGUGCGAGUGUUCCUGAGACUACCAAGGCAC
rnacentral:rRNA from 1 species